GAAAAGAACUUUGAAGAGAGAGUUCAAGAGUACGUGAAACCGUUCAGGGGUAAACCUGAGAAACCCAAAAGAUCGAAUGGGGAGAUUCAUCGACGACGAAGCUGGCUCCCGUUGGCGUGCGAUUCCCCCGUUGGGAAUCUCGGUUCCAGAACGCGGGGUACACCCCUUCGGCGAAUAACCGGCGACGUAGUCGUGCACUUCUCCCUUAGUAGAACGUCGCGACCCGUUGUGUGUCGGUCUACGGCCUGGGCUAUUUGCCUGUCGCGGUGGCAUUCGUUCGCUCGCGGCAGAGGCUCGGUCGCCCGGCCGGCUGCACGACGGUACUCCGACGGUAUCGGGCCGCAACCAAUCCAUUCUCGAAUGGUAUAUGCGUCCAGGCCCGUCGCAAGCUCGGACAGCACCCGGAGCGUGUGGACGCAGCGCCCUCCCCGGGUCUGGCCAGCUGUUAGCAGACGGUGUCCUCGGACCGGCCAAGCUUCGAAUUACCGGUCAGCGACGCUAUUGCUUUGGGUACUCUCAGGACCCGUCUUGAAACACGGACCAAGGAGUCUAACAUGUGCGCGAGUCAUUGGGACAUUGAAACCUAAAGGCGAAAUGAAAGUGAAAGUCGUCGUAAGCGUCGACCAAGGGAGGAUGGGCCGCGUCACGUCGCGGCCUCGCACUCCCGGGGCGUCUCGUUCUCGUUGAGAAGAGGCGCACCCAGAGCGUACACGUU
rnacentral:rRNA from 1 species